rnacentral:ncRNA from 1 species
CGUAGAAUAUUAGAAUUUCUUAAUGUUCUAUCACAUACCCAGCAAUUCCCUAACACGAUGUUAGGGAAAGGCUUCCACCCGACAGGAGGUCGGAUUGGAAGCCGAUUGCGUCAAGAAUCACUCAUAUAAAAUAGAACAUUUAGAAAUUCUUAUAUUCGCAG